CUCAAUGUUUUCCUUUGAGGAGCAUUGGAUUGGUCUAUUGUGAAGGAGAUCAUACCUCCUUCGUGACGUCGCUAGGGUACCAGAACUAAACAGAGCAGAGGGAACCUCGGCUGAAAAAAGUCAGUACAUUACAGGAUGAAUGGGCCUUGUCAGGAAACAAUUCCAGGAGGUUCUGGCUGAAGAGGCUGCAGCCUAAUAUCCCAGACCCGGCAUGCAUUACAAUUAACGCAUGUCACACAUUGCUCUCGUCAGGGACAGAGUGUGAUGCUCCUUAAUCUGCAUAAGAUGGAGACAGGACACAACCUAGUAACACAUGUGGAACAUCUAAAAUAGACUUUCAUUGAUAUGAAAGCAGGAAUUGUGGAUACAUUUUAAACUGAAGGCCAAAAUAGUCGAAGAUGUUAUUAAAAAAAAAAAAAAAUU